ensembl:snRNA U6 U6 spliceosomal RNA
GUACUCGCUUUGGCAGCAUAUAUACUAAAAAACUGGAACGAUACAGAAAAGAUUAGCUUGGCCCCUGCACAACAGAGAAGAUUAGCACGGCCCCUGACACACAAAUUUGUGAAGCAUUCCAUAUUUUU